AAUCAACGCUGGCGGCGUGCCUCAGACAUGCAAGUCGAACGCGAAAGUUUCCUUCGGGAGACAAGUAGAGUGGCGCACGGGUGAGUAACACGUAGGUAAUCUACCUUCGGAUGGGGAAUAACAAUCGGAAACGGUUGCUAAUACCGCAUAAUGCAGCGGCACCUAAUGGUGACAGUUGUUAAAGCGGGGGAGUCGAAGACCUCCGCGUCUGAAGAGGAGCCUGCGGCGGAUUAGCUAGUUGGUAAGGUAAU
rnacentral:rRNA from 1 species